GACGCUGCCAGAUUUGGUCGGCGAGAGUCGCCAUAUUUGCAUGACAGUCGUCGAUUUUUGAGGUGUGGCCAGAGACGUUCAGACUUCUUGUACUGACUUGAUGGAAGGGAGCAGUGUUUGAAAUUCAGAAAUGGAUGAUUGUGACUCGUCAUCGGAUGAUGAACCACUGGCCAGGUUGCUACCACAACACUCCCCAUCAACAACCCCAACGAAGAAGAUUGGGACAUGCAAAGAAGCGGCAUCUGAGGACAGCCUGCCAGUGGCCAGCUUGCUACCGGAGCAGUCACCACCACUAGCAACUACACCGACUACAACACCAAGGAAGGACAAAAAGCGGCUGCUGACACCAAACUCCAAGUCUCUGCCUCAGCCUUCUUCGAAACGGACAAGUGCUGACAGGAGAGAGGAAGAAAAAGAUGUUCAGCUGUACGGGGCUACCUACUGGAAAGACUGGAGGAAGGUGGUCAAGAACACAGCAUUUCAAUGGAACAUUUGCUCUCCCAGGUGCAAGCCCACUGCAAACAAAUGGCAGCACACUCUUCGAGCAAGGAAGAGGAAGAGGCUUUAGCCAACACUGACAUGAUCACAGGAAUAACAGUUGUCAGACUGGUGAAAUCUAUGUUUACUGCUAACUACAUGAAGCACAGCAAGACCCUGUUAGGCUUACGGUGGAAGCCAGCAGUGCUGGAUCAUCUACAGACACCCGCGGGCAACACAGAUCAGAUAGAUAACAUCAGGACAUUGAUCGAGAAAGUUGACCGGGAGCUAGAGGAAAGCUGGGCAAGCGUCUCCAAGUUUGGCGGAGAGCAGCUGGCAUGUUCGCAUUUCGCUGACCUGUGGAACAAAAGGAACAAACUUGUUUCCACCCUUGUACGACUGUACAAGGAACGUGCUGACAGCCUCCUUCAAGAUGCAAAAAGUGGGUAUCACUUAUCGUUAGAGCAGAGAACAAAGCUGUCAGAGGAAAUGAAGAUGUUUGAAAACAUGGUAAACAUCGGUGUGAGGGACAGAGUCAUAGAUGAUGUGCCGGAAACAUUCUUUGGUCAGCUGGCAGAAUCGCUCGACGAAACUUGUCCACUGAUACACUCCAUUCUGUGGACAUUGAUUGUCACUGAUAGAAGCUACAAGAACAAGCUGAAAACAAAUGCAGUCAAGUUAAGGAGUGCCACACAUGCUCUGUGUGGCCUACUGGACUUGAGGAGCUCCCGAGCCAGUAAUG